AGGGUUGUUAUAGAGAACUUUUUACAAGGCUACAUGUAUAAACUGAGUAAGAAGCAUUGAAGUAGCAGAGAGAGCAUCUAUCUUGCUGUGGUACCCAGAGAACUACUGCCUGAUUAGUGUGGUCGCAAUGAGCACAGUUGCAUCAGUAUAGUGCACCAGAGUAGUGUUCCACAGAAUAACUGAAAGGCGAAAACCCUGCAGAGUAUAUUGUGGCAGAGAACAGAAGAAUGAACACAGCCCUGAGCAAGGCAAUGAAUUUGUACUGCUGUAUUUUCCAUGUAAGGUAAUAUUUAUUGAAUUAUAAAAUAAAGGUUUCAAAGAAAACAAA